rnacentral:sRNA from 1 species
UCUUGAAAAGCAAAAAUAAACAAAGAUAGCACAGUAAGUUCCUGAUGCCUAGAACCCUCAAGACGGAAGGAGAGAGCUGCCUCGGCACACUGACCUCUGACCUCCAACAGCACCCCUUGGCUCAUGCACCCGAAAAAAACAAAGCAGUUCUACUGGGCAGUUCUUCCUUUUCUAUAUUUUCCAAGAUUUCUAUGAUCAACAUAUAUGGGCCUAUAUCAUAAAUAUUUUUCUUUUACAUUCCUGUGAGAGGGCUGGUCAGAUGCCUGAAGGGAUACAGCACUUGGCGGACAAGCUGACAGCUCAAGUUCCAUCCCCGGGACUCCCAUGGUACAAGGAGAGAACUGAUUUCUACAGGCUGCCUGCCUUUCACUUCCACAUGCAUGCCUCCCCACCCCCAAGACAAUGAGAUGUAUGUUAAGAAAAACUAGUGUGAGAACUGGAGCAUCAGCAGACAGCUGAGGCGGGCAGAGGAAAACCAACCACCCACCCAAAUCUAAUCCCCCCUCCAAAAUAACCAGUAUUCAAAGUCUUGUCUUCAAGGUUCAAAUCCCAUUUAAUCAGCUCAUUCAGGGAGUAUCUGUUUUAGGUAAUUGACUUCGGAAGAAAGGUUAUUAAUUAGGUGACUAUAUAACCAGAUUAUACUGUAUUAGUAGAUAAAUCCCUUUUUAGGAUAAAAAAAUACUACUUUUGUUUUUUUUUAAUGAACAAGCAAAAAGCCAGAGAGCUAUUAUGUGGAAAAUUCAAGGGUUGGUUGGAGAGAGGGCUUAGCGGUUAAGAGUGCUUGAUGUCCUUCCAGAGGUCCUGAACUGUUUCCAGAAUCCAUGCGAGGCAUUGCACAACCUGUCCCUCCAGAUUGAGGAGUCUUGAAGCCUUCUAUGGCCUCUAAAGGCACACUUCCCUCAAAUACACACACAGAAAUUUUUUAAAUAAGUAAAUAUAAGUAAAUAAACAAAAUGUGACUGAAGAUUCAAAUAUGAAAGUUGGAUUUUAGUGUUCUUGAGUUUCUCUCUACAUGUCAUCCCUAUAGAGUAAAUAUAGACUAGUUAAAAUGCAGUGUCAGAUUGCUUCUAAAUUAUACUAACCCACCCAGUUAGCCAUUCUAAGAAAUUACACAGAUCAGCUUUGGGGAAAAAGCUAGAACCUUUGAAUGGAAAUUUAGGGGAUCGGGGUAGUAAUUGGCCAAAUGUAACAUAUCCCUUUAAUCCCAGCAUUCAGGAGGCAGAGGCAGGUGGAUAUGUGAAUUCGAGGCCGGCCUGGUCUACAUAGAGUUCUAAGACAGCCAGAACUACACAGUGAGAUCUUGUCUCAAACAAACGAAAAUGGCCAGGCCAGCUUUGUCAAUUUCACUGAGCCUAGGGUCAUCUGAGAGUCUCAUCCAGUGAGGAACUGCUCGAAUCAGAUUAGCCUAUGGAAUUGCUGGGAGGAACUGCCUUGUUAAGGGGUGGAGGGCAGCCCACUGUUGGUGGUUCCAUUCCCUAGGUGGUCCUGGGCUGUGUAAGAAAUCUAGAUAAGCCUGAGCCUGAGGACUCCAGCAAGCAGCAUUUUUCUGUAGUUUUGCUUCAAGUUCUUCUCUUGAGUUCCUGCCCUGAUUACUCUCACUGAUGUACUGUAAGUUGUGUUGAAAUAAACCCUUGCCUUCCCCAAAUUGCUUUCAGUCAGUGUUUUAUUACAGCAACACAACCAGAACAGAAAACAGAACACUACUGCUUUACAGCCUAGAUAGUAUUUUGCUAUUUUUGGCUUUAUUCGUUCCUCUUAACUUGUAUGGUAAACAAGACCUCAAAUUUUAUCUUCUAUAUUGUCAGGGUGCAGUCCAGAAGAAGUCUAAGCUAGGUUUUAAGUUCUUUAUGAUCUUGCCAAAGUUGUGAAUAACAAAAACUAAGGAUUAUGGUGACCUCUGCAUUUCCCUCAGAAGAAUUAGAAGGAAAGUCCUGUAUGACCUGCCUCUCUCAUUUACCUCACCAGCCGGUCUUCCUUUCUCUCUAGAAGCAGGCAACCCUCCCUGUUUUCAUUUGAGGGUGUCUGCCUUCUUGUUCUAUCCGGAACACCAACUUUCUAUAUGCAUGUGUCCUUGACGUGUGUCCAAAAGCAUGAUGCCAGUCAGAUGGCAUCAGGACUCUGACAGCCUCAGUUUUACUUACUCAGCUCUUUAAAAGGCCUGUCUCCUAAGAGCCACAUUACUGAAGAUGGGGGUAGGAGACAGGACUCCAACAUGAAAAGUUUGAAUAUACAACUCAGUAUACCUUUCUCCCAUUUUGCAUCUGGAGCAUCUAGAGUUACAACAUUUCUUUAUCUUAGCUUGAACCAAACAUAUUUCCUUUGAACAAAAUCUCACCUUUUUUGAUGCAGACAGAACACACUGCACCACCUUGUGAUGUACUAUUAAGGACCCACCCAGGGCAGAGCAGUCGUCUCUGUUGUGUAACUCCAUUCCAGUUUAUGUUACUUUCACAACACUUACUCCAGCAUUUGGCACCCACUGGCUUACAAUGUAACUUUUCUGCUGCUCAAAACCGGUUAUCGUUUAAUAAAUUGUAUAUGAUCUCGCUUUCAAAAGGCAAAUAAUGGGUCAAAGCUGUUUUUUUUUUUAUAAAGUCUGUACCCCAAUAUUAUGUAAUUGCUGUGAAAAAAAUCACAGCGGGUUCAGAAACCCAAUGCAGAGCAGAAAGACCAGUUCCCAAGGCACUGCAUGCACAAAAAACAAAACGGAACAAAACAAGCCACCUCACUUUACAAGGCCUAAAUCUAGACUUCAGGCGUUACAAUAUUUGACAGGCCUUAUUUUUCAGCAAUUAAAGUAUGACUGUAACUUCUGAACGAAGCUUCAGAGCACAAGAAGCAUUUUUUAAAAAGUGGCGGGAAUACACCACAGUCCACAGUUGAUUAGUGAAUUUGGAAAAAAAAAAAAAAAAAGCUUAUGACCCCGACGUGAUUCGAACACGCAGCCUUCUGAUCUGGAGUCAGACGCGCUACCGUUGCGCCACGAGGUCCUGCUGGGCUGUGGCUCGCGCGGUUUCUUAGGAGUCCGAAAACAUGGCGGCUGAAGCAUGCAUCCCACACUUAUUCCCUGCCACUCACUCGGGAGAGCUGGCAGAGACCAAGCGGGUUCACUCGGCGCCCGACUUUCCCUCUCCGUCUAAGUUAGGUUGCAGCGUCUCGUAGCUGGAGGAUUCGAAAUUGGACUUCUUGGGAUGGGCUGCUGUAUUUCUUUAUCUGGACAUGUCGCUGGCUCUGUCUCUCUGUAGAAUAAACUACACUCCCAAGCCAACGUGAGCGAACUAUGUGAAAAUAUCUUAGCAGAGCAGAAGCUUUCCAGAUGCUUCGGUCUUUUGUGUUCAAUCGUGACGAAGGGUUGAAAUGAGUUGAGAUCCUCACAAAUUCGUCUUUUCUACCAGAAGUUGAAGUUCAAGUGUAUCCUAUGGUGCCAGAUCUCUAGUAUGGUCAGAGAUGUUCCGAAGCUCUGUGUGUCUUCAGACGAUUCGUCAGCGUUUGUGACACAAAAGGAUCUGUGCUCUUGAUGAACUCUCUUAAAAUGAAAACUUCACUGACCAUCUGACUUUUCCUAUAUCCCCGUCUAAAGGUGUCUACAACUUAAAAGGAACAGAAGCAAGUUUUAAAUGCAUUAUUAAGUAAUAUUGCACUUAAAGAAUUAAAAACCAAAGGCGUUCCAUCGGUUAACAUAGAGCUGUGAAAAUACAGCAACAGGACCAAUAGGAUAUAUUCAUAUAUAUCACAAUUAUUGUGAUAUAUUAAGCCGUUUCAUAAACAAGAUCGAGCCAUUUCCCCGAAGGGGAACAGGGAGGACCUCGUAUAGAAACUUUGAUUUGUCACCAAGAACAUUUACACAGCUAUAGAUAAACACACAUCACCGACCGGGAUUCAGAAGAUAUUUGGAACGUACCGUGUACCAGACAUUGUAUUAGAUGCAAUGGGAGACCUUCUUGGGUAAAUCCCAAAUCUUAUGCUAUGUUAUAGUCGGAGUCAGCCAGCUAGUUCCAAUAUCAAUAUUAAAACUUUCACUCGUGUA